rnacentral:rRNA from 1 species
UACGUAGGGGGCGAGCGUUGUCCGGAAUUAUUGGGCGUAAAGAGCGUGUAGGCGGUUCGGUAAGUCUGCCGUGAAGACCUGGGGCUCAACCCCGGGCGUGCGGUGGAUACUGCCGGGCUAGAGGGUGGUAGAGGCGAGUGGAAUUCCCGGUGUAGCGGUGAAAUGCGCAGAUAUCGGGAGGAACACCAGUAGCGAAGGCGGCUCGCUGGGCCAUUCCUGACGCUGAGGCGCGAAAGCUAGGGGAGCGAACAGG